UGAUGUCAACUGUCAACUCUGCCAUUUCGCCAGAUAUCAUAUAUCUUCCUUUAAAACCCACAGUAUGGGGAAAGGUUAGAUUAACACCAGGAAAGAAGAAUUGUAAGGGUAUUCGAGGGCAAUAAUUUAACAAAGCGAGAAAGGAUCGAUGCAGUAUUUACCAACCAAGCAUAGCUCAGACUAGUACAAGUAUGAGUACGAGUCCCACACAUUAACUUAUGUGUGGGAAAAAAUAGUCGGUCUGAAGACAAUGCUGCACUGGAUCUGGAUCGCUAGCUGCAUGCUGGAGGCUGCCGGCUGGAACUACUUUAAAGAUCAUCAUUUUGUCAAGGAAAGACAUGGGCAGAAGUCUGCAAAUAAGCACUUCCAGACUUGGACUUGGACUUGGAGUGAAUCAGUACUUUGGAUAUAUGCUACCUCUAUGGAAUUUGUCGAUGACACAUUUACGAUCAUAAACAGCAUGGAAUCGAUUGGUUUUAAUCAGUAAAGGCAAGAAUAAUAUACAUUUAUGAAUUUUGGCUGAAAAAAAUUUUGUAUUGGAAUUGUACAUGAAGCCAUGUUUUUGAGCAAUGUUUGGUCUGAGGUGCGCAACUUCAAAACCACAUGUGUGGACGUCGCGAAUUUGGACAAAAAAAUUGUGCAAGACUCAAAAGAAAAAGUCAA